AACGCACAUUGCGCCCGCCAGCACUCUGGCGGGCAUGCCUGUCCGAGCGUCGCUUCAACCCUCGAGGCCCGCGUCGUCCCCCCGCCCCCAGGGGCGGCGGGACGGCCGGGCCCGGUGUUGGGGGACGGCCCAGCGCCGCCCCCGAAAUGCAGUGGCGAACCCGCCGCGGCCUCCCCUGCGCAGUAAGCACACGCCCUCGCACCGGAGCCCGGACGCGGUCCACGCCGUAAAACGCCCCGACCCCCAAGCGAGUCGACCUCGGAUCAGGUAGGAGUACCCGCUGAACUUAA
rnacentral:misc_RNA from 1 species